rnacentral:rRNA from 1 species
AAGUAGGGGAUCGUAAGACCUUGCGCUUUUGGAGCGGCCGAUGUCUGAUUAGCUAGUUGGUGGGGUAAUGGCCUACCAAGGCUUCGAUCAGUAGCUGGUCUGAGAGGACGGCCAGCCACACUGGGACUGAGACACGGCCCAGACUCCUACGGGAGGCAGCAGUGGGGAAUUUUGGACAAUGGGCGCAAGCCUGAUCCAGCCAUGCCGCGUGAGUGAAGAAGGCCUUCGGGUUGUAAAGCUCUUUCAGCCGGGAAGAAAAGGUUGCGAUUAAUAAUCGCAAUUCAUGACGGUACCGAAAGAAGAAGCACCGGCUAACUACGUGCCAGCAGCCGCGGUAAUACGUAGGGUGCGAGCGUUAAUCGGAAUUACUGGGCGUAAAGGGUGCGCAGGCGGUUUUGUAAGUCAGAUGUGAAAUCCCCGGGCUUAACCUGGGAACUGCGUUUGAAACUACAAGGCUAGAGU